GCUAGCCCAACUUCAGUAACCCUACAAACGUCACUGCUGUUUAGUUUCCUGUCUUCAUUUAUGUUGGAAGUGAUAGCAGAGCUGUACGUUUUAAUUUUUUCAGAAAUCUCUCAGUCAGAACAUGCAAUAUCAUGCUUAGGUAACUAGCGAAACUAGCGAGCUAACUUCCUGCUAGCUUCUAACUUCGUUAAGUGUAAUAAAUUCUGUUUUCAUGGAUGCCUGGAUGUUAAACUUCAUAGUUACACCUGGUAAAGCAGCAAUGCUGAUCGUUUUAUUAAAGAUGAAAGAAUUUAGACAGUUUUUAACUCUCGGUGAUGUUGUUCGUUUGACUUUGGGACAUGAAGGGGACGGAAUUUAUGACCCAGAUUACUCCCAGAUUAUAGGAGCGCGUUAGUCCGACAAAUACGGCAAUAAUGACGGGCUGCUUGCAUGUUCUACAAAAAAAUGUGUGGACAAAUUCCAGUUCCACAUCACUGAAGUGGCACCAUUUUUACAAACUAAUUCUGGUUCAUCCGUUUCACUCAAUGAUCCGCUUUCUCCCUUCUCAUUCUCUGUUGCCGCCAUGCUUUUUCGGCCAUGUGCGUAUGAAAACAAAGGCACUGUGCAUGCGUGUUUUAUCCAUAUUCUAUCGUGAUAUUACAUUUUCUUAUCGUUGCCUAACAUUGUACCGGUAUUACCAUGAACGGUAUAAUAUGGCCCAGCCCUAUUGCCAUCUGUCCUUAAUUGCAUCCCAGCCCCAUAUUUCUGCAAUUUCCAUCUCAACCCACUUAAAGAGUCCAUUCUCGGCCCACUUAUGAAAAUCCUUUGUUGUAGCCCGUCUUGUAUACCAUAAUUUAACUUUAAUCAAAGAUAUCAAAUUCACUACUAGCAACAGAUAUUCUUUCUUUACAUGUAUUCAUGUCAAAAAAUCUUCAUAAGUAAAUAAGGUAAGGCAAGCAAAUAGUCUUUUCAGUAGGUUUCAAAGGGAUCUAACGAACAGGCAAUCCCACGAUCUUAUCUUCAGCCAAAGGUGAGUAAUUAAAAAAAUUCAGAGGAAUAGGAAGUCAAAAUCUGAGAAACACUUGACAUUUAUGAAUAUAUCUUUGAGACACUAAGGUGUACAAGUUGCUGUAAUAAAGCACGUCCAACUUUAAAGGGAUAUGUGGAAUACUUUUACCGCCAUUCUCUAUAGAUUGAUAAAGAGUUUCCUGUUUAAUAUAUUCAUUACCACUCUAAAACAAACUAAACAUUGACCUUGUCAUUUCUUUUCUAACUAAUUCAUGCAUGGCGAAUAUGCAAGCUGGUGUAGCAGGAUAGGAAGUAUAUCCAUUCUCGUUGCCAGUAUUUUGCUACAAAAAAUUGUGACUGGUUGCAGUUACACUGCUAAUAAAUCCAGCUAGUAAAACGUUCGUUGUUUUUCCACAUGUUUAGGGGGGUGCACCGUUCCUGGAGAUACUGCAAUACCAGGUCGAUGCGUGGAGUGGACGGAGCAAGCCCCUAUUCCAUCUCCCUGUUCCAAAAAUCAAUUUAAUAUAUGGUCCCCGGGUAGGGGACGUAUCAGAUAUUAAACUGAUAAGAACAGAUACUACACUUGAUCUUAGCCAAAAGGCCGAGAAGCGAUACCGGGAAUAUGUCGGAGCAGACGGAGUCACCCCCCGCACAGUCUCCCUCACUGACGGUUCGGAAACUAAACCGCUCGCCAUUUCAGGCCAUCGUAUAAAACAGCAACCAUGAGAUCAUUAGAUAACGUAUAACCAGUGUAAUGUCGAUGUAUGUUAUUUGAAUCUGCUAGCUUUAGCAAAUAUACCUUCUUCUGUCUUCUUAGACACGUGGUACGCUUUAGUCCAAUAGGAAGCAGAAAAGCAAAAAACAAGAAAUAAACAUAAUAAAUUUAGUUUACAUUCAUGACAACACUCACGCUUAUCACGCUAAAUAUGAGUGUUAUUUUAACUUAAUUAAACGUAAUAUAUUUCUGGUAAAGUAAAUUAAUGUUUUUACGUUUCUCGUUAAGAAAAAACAAACUUUACUAGCGGUCUCUGGUGGCGCGGAGGGCGAACUACACUCUUUAUGUUACAUGCUCCGCUAUUAUGAAAAAAAUUAACCACUCGGUGACAAACCGCAAAUAUUAACGCAAAUCUUUCUCUUUUUGUUCUGGCUCGAGUUUUCCUUGCAGAACACCCUCUACAUGACAGCAGCAGAUACCAGUCAAAGUCUGACAACAUCCUACCGCUAACAUGCGACAAAGUAAAGCGCGCCUGGUGUGAGGAAGAAGUCAUUAUCACGAAAAUGGCGACUGUGGUUGAGACCUCCUCACCUAGGGUUGCCAACUCCCUGAAAAAUAAAUAAGGGACACCUCGUGGCCAGGGCCGGGCAACCCAGUUGUCUUCACCCUUCCCAGUGUGGUGAAUUUUCUAGCUCUUUUUUUGUGUGUGAAAUUAUUUUUUUUAACCAUUUGACUUUAAGUUGAUUUAAGUAGAUGCAUAUUCUAUUCUUUGUGAUAUGAACACAUGGGAAACAAAUGAUCAUUUAGCCAUUUAUCUUUAGCUCAAAAUGACAACAUUAACACAGUAAAACAGGUCUCUUUCUUAAACAGAAGCCUGUCAUGCUUAACUUUUGAGAAUAAAAGUAAAUCUUUCUUUAAAAGCACUCUGUCCUGCUUAACUUAAAAUAAUAGAAAACAAUAGAAAGAAAAAUAUUCUUGUAACUGUGCACAUUUAGUGCAUUUAGUACAAUUGGCUUCAGUUGAGGUAUUAUUUCAGCUUUUCUAAUGCUAAUCAGCUGCUCCUGUUUGUAAACCCGCUUGUUCCCAUGAUUACGCAUCAUAACUCAUCAUCAUUAUUCAUCUAUGUAUUACUUUUAUGUAUUAGUCAUCUAUUUGUUGUAAUCAUCUAUCCUUGCAGUUGUUUAUUACACAAAAUAAAUUAUAUUAUCAC
ensembl:lncRNA